UACAGAGGUCUCGAGCGUUAGGCGGAAUCACUGGGCUUAAAGCGUGUGUAGGCGGAUCGUUAAGUGCCUUGUGAAAUCCCACGGCUCAACCGUGGAACUGCUUGGCAUACUGGCGGUCUUGAGCAACCUAGGGGCGAGCGGAACAAAUGGUGGAGCGGUGAAAUGCGUGGAUAUCAUUUGGAACGCCAAUGGUGAAAACAGCUCGCUGGGGGUUUGCUGACGCUGAGACACGAAAGCCAGGGGAGCAAACGGG
rnacentral:rRNA from 1 species